CUUUUUCUUCUUCUUCUUCUUCGUAUUUUUUUUUUUUACUUCCCAUCCACCGUGAGCCAACAAGACUUCCAAGUAACUGUCAAGGAACCUGAGGAUGAGUACUCUUGGAGCUCCUCAAUUUCUAGGGGCUAUUCUCCCUUCCCCUCUGGCGGCGACGACUCCGGGGCAACAGAUGGGACAUGGAGAUUGUAGGCCCUGCUAAUGUCUGUGAGAGAGACGUUGUGCUUGUUGAUCUUUCCACCGCCAAUGAGGGAAAUGUUAAAGGUGCUUACCCUGUCAUCGAAGGUUUUGAUGAGAUCGGGGCUUUGCUAGCAGUGCAGGUUGAUUAAGGAUAAUUUCAUCAACGGUCACUACGCUUAUCACUGGCAGAAAGUGCCAUUAUUGCUCUGAAUUGCAGCGGAAUGGUCUUAGGAAGCCAACCCAUCCGGGUAAGUCCAUCAAAGACACCUGUGAGGCCGCGAGUUACUCGCCCAACAUUGCAUUAACUAAUCUUGAAGAGUUUCAGAUCCAUGGAUAGAAUUUUGGCGAUAUUCCCAGUUGAGAUGAAUUGGUUGUGUUGAUGGGAUGGUGAAACUUUCUUUUGUUUCAGUGUUUCCAUAUUUUCCACGGCAACAGUGACUUUAUCUGUGACUCAAACGUAUUGUAAUCCUGCUUCAACUUGAAGUUUUUCACAAGACUGUCUCAGCCUCGAUUACUUUUAUCUCGUUCCAUAAAUGUUUUGGAAAUCCCAUCUGUUAACUUGGAUAAUGGUAUCAAUUGUCAUUACUAAUUGUGGUUAAUGACUUGAGAAAUUCGAGUCGGUUCGUGAAAAAUACAAGUGCUUGUGUUUAGUUAAUGGAGUUAAUAGUGGAAUUAGCAGUAGUAAUCUUGACGUGUCUGCAUGUUGUCUUUUAACAUGACUAGGAAAUUAGUUGCACAUUGUCGGUCAUUAUAAUCAUU
rnacentral:misc_RNA from 1 species